GGGAUUGCCCUAGUAACGGCGAGUGAAGCGGCAACAGCUCAAAUUUGAAAUCUGGCGCAAGCCCGAGUUGUAAUUUGUAGAGGAUGCUUCUGGGUAGCGACCGGUCUAAGUUCCUUGGAACAGGACGUCAUAGAGGGUGAGAAUCCCGUAUGUGACCGGCCCGCACCCUUUACGUAGCUCCUUCGACGAGUCGAGUUGUUUGGGAAUGCAGCUCUAAAUGGGAGGUAAAUUUCUUCUAAAGCUAAAUACCGGCCAGAGACCGAUAGCGCACAAGUAGAGUGAUCGAAAGAUGAAAAGUACUUUGGAAAGAGAGUUAAAAAGCACGUGAAAUUGUUGAAAGGGAAGCGCCUGCAAUCAGACUUCGCGGCAGUGUUCCGCCGGCCUUCUGGCCGGUUCAUUCUCUGUCGCGAGGCCAUCAUCGUCUCGGCCCGCUGGAUAAGACCUUGGGAAUGUAGCUCACCUUCGGGGGAGUGUUAUAGCUCAUGGUGAUGCAGCGAGGCUGGGGCGAGGUCCGCGCUUCGGCAAGGAUGAUGGCGUAAUGGUUGUCGGCGGCCCGUCUUGAAACACGGACCAAGGAGUCUAACAUCUAUGCGAGUGUUCGGGUGUCAAACCCCUACGCGUAAUGAAAGUGAACGGAGGUGGGAACCGCAAGGUGCACCAUCGACCGAUCCUGAUGUCCUCGGAUGGAUUUGAGUAAGAGCAUAGCUGUUGGGACCCGAAAGAUGGUGAACUAUGCCUGAAUAGGGUGAAGCCAGAGGAAACUCUGGUGGAGGCUCGCAGCGGUUCUGACGUGCAAAUCGAUCGUCAAAUUUGGGUAUAGGGGCG
rnacentral:rRNA from 3 species